ACAGGGCCGACGCAGGUCAAAACGUAGUAUCUGUUCUUAUCAGCUUAAUAUCUGGUACGGGUAGUACUCGGAUCUAAGGCAUUAAACUUAUUUUCGCAAGUUGGCGGAGUGCCCGCCGAAGGCCCGCUUCACCUCUGUAGCGGUUCAUCCCGCCAUUGCAAUAUCUUCGGGAUCGGCCCAAGUAGG